rnacentral:tRNA from 1 species
GCAGAGGUACCCGAGUAUGGUCUAAGGGGCGAGGCUCAGGCCCUCGUGGCACAGGCCUUCGUGGGUUCAAGUCCCACCCUCUGCACCA